rnacentral:tRNA from 1 species
GCCCGCAUAGGGUAGCCAGGAUAUCCUGGGGGCUUGCGGAGCCCUCGACUCGGGUUCGAAUCCCGGUGCGGGCA